AGGGUUUGAUUCUGGCUCAGGAUGAACGCUAGCUACAGGCUUAACACAUGCAAGUCGAGGGGCAGCAUUUCAGUUUGCUUGCAAACUGGAGAUGGCGACCGGCGCACGGGUGAGUAACACGUAUCCAACCUGCCGAUAACUCGGGGAUAGCCUUUCGAAAGAAAGAUUAAUACCCGAUGGUAUAAUUAGACCGCAUGGUUUGAUUAUUAAAGAAUUUCGGUUAUCGAUGGGGAUGCGUUCCAUUAGGCAGUUGGUGAGGUAACGGCUCACCAAACCUUCGAUGGAUAGGGGUUCUGAGAGGAAGGUCCCCCACAUUGGAACUGAGACACGGUCCAA
rnacentral:rRNA from 1 species